rnacentral:rRNA from 1 species
GACGAACGCUGGCGGCGUGCUUAACACAUGCAAGUCGAACGGAAAGGCCCUGCUUUUGUGGGGUGCUCGAGUGGCGAACGGGUGAGUAACACGUGAGUAACCUGCCCUUGACUUUGGGAUAACUUCAGGAAACUGGGGCUAAUACCGGAUAGGAGCUCCUGCUGCAUGGUGGGGGCUGGAAAGUUUCGGCGGUUGGGGAUGGACUCGCGGCUUAUCAGCUUGUUGGUGGGGUAGUGGCUUACCAAGGCUUUGAUGGGUAGCCGGCCUGAGAGGGUGACCGGCCACAUUGGGACUGAGAUACGGCCCAGACUCCUACGGGAGGCAGCAGUGGGGAAUAUUGCACAAUGGGCGGAAGCCUGAUGCAGCAACGCCGCGUGCGGGAUGACGGCCUUCGGGUUGUAAACCGCUUUCGCCUGUGACGAAGCGUGAGUGACGGUAAUGGGUAAAGAAGCACCGGCUAACUACGUG